rnacentral:rRNA from 1 species
AUUGAACGCUGGCGGCAGACUUAACACAUGCAAGUUGAGCGGUAACAGAGAGAAGCUUGCUUCUCUGCUGACGAGCGGCGGCCGGGUGAGUAAUGCCUAGGAAUCUGGCUAGUAGUGGGGGAUAACUUGCCGAAAGGUAAGCUAAUACCGCCUACGUCCUACGGGAGAAAGGAGGGGACCUUCGGGCCUUUCGCUAUUAGAUGAGCCUAGGUCGGAUUAGUUAGUUGGUGAGGUAAUGGCUCACCAAGACCGCGAGCCGUAACUGGUCUGAGAGGAUGAUCAGUCACACUGGAACGGAGACACGGUCCAGACUCCUACGGGAGGCAGCAGUAGGGAAUAUUGGACAAUGGGGGGAACCCUGAUCCAGCCAUGCCGCGUGUGUGAAGAAGGUCUUAGGAUUGUAAAGCACUUUAAGUUGGGAGGAAGAGCAGUUAACUAAUAUUUGACUGUUUUGACGUUACCGACAGAAUAAGCACCGGCUAACUUCGUGCCAGCCGCCGCCGUAA